rnacentral:rRNA from 1 species
UUAAGCUAAUAAGAGCGCAGGGAGAAUGCCUUGGCAUUGGGAGCCGAAGAAGGACGUGGUAAGCUGCGAAAAGCUGCGGGGAUCAGCAAGCAUGAAUUGAUCCGCAGAUAUCCGAAUGGAGCAAUCCGCAUGAGUGAAGCUCAUGCAUCAUACAGUGAAUAAAAUAGCUGUAUGAGGGGAACCGCCUGAACUGAAACAUCUAAGUAGGGCGAGGAAGAGAAAUCAACCGAGAUUCUGUGAGUAGUGGCGAGCGAAAGCGGAAGAGGCUAAACCGGAAGUAGCAAUACCUCCGGGGUUUUGGACGACAUUUAGUAUUCAUUUGAGCGAGCUGAAAUGUAUGGGAAGACAUACCGAAGAAUGUGAGAGUCAUGUAAGCGAAGUGAGAAUGAGCGAGUCGAAUCCGGAGUACCGCGGGACACGUGAAACCCCGUGGGAAGAUAGGGGGACCACCCUCUAAGCCUAAAUACUACCCAAUGACCGAUAGCGAAUAGUACUGUGAAGGAACGGUGAAAAGAACCCCGGGAGGGGAGUGAAAAAGAACCUGAAACCCUGUGCUUACAAGCACCGAGAGCACAUCAACGUGUGAUCGGGUACCUAUUGUAGAAUGGUCCGGCGAGUUAUUGUAUGCGGCGAGGUUAAGAGCUUAAGGCUCGGAGCCGAAGCGAGAGCGAGUCUGAAAAGGGCGUCAAGUCGUAUGCAAUAGACCCGAAACCGUGUGACCUACCCAUGUCCAGGCUGAAGUGGAGGUAAAACUCCAUGGAGGGCCGAACGCACGUCCGUUGAAAAGGCCGGCGAUGAGAUGUGGGUAGCGGAGAAAUUCCAAUCGAACUCGGAUAUAGCUGGUUCUCUCCGAAAUAGCUUUAGGGCUAGCCUCGUAAUAGAUUACCGGAUGUAAAGCACUGAAUAGGCUAGGGGUCGAGAGAUUACUGAACCUUAUCAAACUAAGAAGGCCGGAUAAUUGUUUUACGGGAGUCAGACAGCGUGAGAUAAGUUUCGUUGUCGAAAGGGAAAGAGCCCAGAUCUACAGCUAAGGUCCCUAAAUACUGUUAAGUGGAAAAGGAUGUGGAAUUGCAUAAACAACCAGGAUGUUGGCUUAGAAGCAGCCAUACAUUAAAAGAGUGCGUAAUAGCUCACUGGUCGAGUGACUCUGCGCCGAAAAUUCAACGGGGCUAAACAGUAUACCGAAGCUUAGGAUUGUGUCUUAUGACACAGUGGUAGGAGAGCGUUGUGUAAGGGGUGAAGUCAGAGCGGAAGCGCUGGUGGACUUUACAGAAGUGAGAAUGCCGGAAUGAGUAGCGAGAAUUAUGUGAGAAUCAUAAUGGCCGAAAAUCUAAGGUUUCCUGAGGAAGGUUCGUCCGCUCAGGGUAAGCCGGGAGCUAAGGUGAGGCUUAAAUGCGUAGCCGAUGCACAUACGGUUGAAAUUCCGUAGCCGUCGAAACUUAAAUGCAGGGACGCUUUGAAAGGACUUGAGCCGGGCGAUGGUUGACCCGGUCGAAAGGGACCGAAAAUUAGUAGGGAAGCAAGUCUGGACGAAGACAAGAAAAGCUGCAUGGUAUGCUAAGGCGCCCGUACCGCAAACCGACACAGGUAGAUAGGAAGAGGAUUCUAAGGCCAACGGGAGAAGGGUUGUUAAGGAACUCGGCAAGUUGACCCCGUAACUUCGGAAUAAGGGGUGCCUGCGAGAGCAGGUCGCAGAGAAUAGGCCCAGGCAACUGUUUAUCAAAAACACAGGUCUCUGCUAAAUCGAAAGAUGACGUAUAGGGGCUGACACCUGCCCGGUGCCGGAAGGUUAAGAGGAGAUGUGAGAGCAUUGAAUUGAAGCCCCGGUAAACGGCGGCCGUAACUAUAACGGUCCUAAGGUAGCGAAAUUCCUUGUCAGGUAAGUUCU